AGUGAACGCUGGCGGCAGGCCUUACACAUGCAAGUCGAACGGCAGCACGGGACAGCUUGCUGACUGGGUGGCGAGGGGCGAGUAAGUGAGGAAAACAUGGGCAUCUGCGCAGUAGAGGGGGAUAACGUAGGAACACAUACGCUAAUACAGCAUACGACCAACGGGGGGGAGCGGGGGGCCGCACGCGCUCUGGGGGGCGGAUGAGCCGAUGUCGGAUUAGCUAGUUGGCGGGGUAAAGGCCCACCAAGGCGACGAUCCGUAGCUGGUCUGAGAGGAUGAUCAGCCACACUGGAACUGAGACACGGCCCAGACUCCUACGGGAGGCAGCAGUGGGGAAUAUUGGACAAUGGGCGCAAGCCUGAUCCAGCCAUGCCGCGUGCAGGAAGAAGGCCUUCGGGUUGUAAAGCGCUUUUGUAGGGAAAGAAAUCGUUCUGGCUAAUACCCUGGGAUAAUGACGGUACCCAAAGAAUAAGCACCGGCUAACUUCGUG
rnacentral:rRNA from 1 species